CAAAAAUUAGCUGGGCGUGCUGUAGCGCGCCUGUAGUCUCAGCUACUCGGGAGGCUGAGGCAGGAGAAUCGCUUAAAUCUGGGAGGCGGAGGUUGCAGUGUGCUGAGAUGGCCCCACUGCACUCCGCACACCAGCCUGUGCGACAGAGCGAGACCUCGUCUCAAAAAAAUAAAAAUAACAGCCUCGGGUUAAGCGCGGUGGCUCACUAGUGUAAUUCCAGCACUUUGGGAGGUCACGGUGGGAGAAUUACUUCAGACCAGGAGUUCAAGACCAGCCUGGGCAACAUAGCAAUACCUCAUCUUUACAAAAAAUUUAAAAAUUAGUCGGGCAUGGUGGCAUGUGUCUGUAGACCCAGCUACUCAAGAGGCUGAGGUGGAAGGAUCGCUUGAGCCCAGGAGACUGAGGCUGCAUUGCAGUGAGCUGUGAUCGUACUGCUACACUUCGCCGGGCAACAGAGUGAGAUCCUGUCUCAAAAAAAUAUUAACAGCCUCGGGCCAUGCCUAUGUCAAGACUGUUGUGUGCAGGGAAACCAUCCUGCCACCUCCCUUCGGUCUUGGGAGAGCUUAAUCCUGAAAGGGUUGUGGAAGGACAAGGUGGCUUGGGGACUGGUAAUGAUCUCUUCCCAGGCUUCAUCACUGUUCUUUUAAAUAAUUAAUUCAUCUUCUUCCUUGGUGUUUACAUCCUUCAAAUAUUUGUAGAUGGUUAUCAUGUCCCUUUAGUCACCACUUAGCACCACUCUGCAUAUUUGCUGUCAUGUUGAGUGUGUGUUAUCAUCAUUGUCAUUAUUAUUAUUAUUUCCUCCCAGCUCCCUCCCUCAGUCCCUCAGCCACCAUCAUCACUCAGUGAAUUUCCUCCAGGUUCCCAACCUUUCAAGUACCAGGUUACCCAAGAUGGGACAUUAAAAGUCAGUAGUGAUGACAAGCCCUACUUGUCACAGAGGGCUUGCAGGCCCUCUGGUUCCUCACUAAUUCUCAUCAGUUUCCCCAAAGCCACAGCAAAAAAAAAAAAAAAAAGACAAACUAAGUAAAAACAGCAUGCUUACACUGCAAACACAGCUUCCAGACAAAUCCCCCAGCCCCUGCUCCCAAACAGAUAAUCCUCAAUUUUCUCAAAUACAAAAUCAGGAUGAGAAUCCCUGCUCUCAACAACCUGGGAUUAUUGUGAGGAUUCAAAGAGGAAUAAAAACUGAAAGGUGCUUUGUAAACUAUAAAACAGGGAGGGUGGUACUAUCAGCAAUGCCUUCCACAUAGGAUGGGAUUUCUACAAAAUGUUCCAGAGGUCAACUGUUCUAAAAAGCUAAAAAUUCUAAGUUAGAAUUUACAAAUGAACUCGAUAGAGCCAAGAUUCACCCGAAAAUCUGUCUAUUGAAAGAAUAUAAAGAGAUGCCCUACUUAAAAAUCUACUCAUAGAUGUUAGUAUUCCAAAUAAAGUGUGGAACUCAGAGCUGGAGGCUGAUGGGGCCUUGGAGUUUACAGAUGGCCCUGACGAGACUUUAGAAGGUCAAGCUGCUAUAAAAGACUUAAAAAAAAUCCACCUUGUCUUGCAUUUCAGAUCUCACUGAAGAGUUCUUCUGUGCCUGGAAGACUUAUUUUCAGUCUGAGAAGAAUGAUUUUUCAAUGGUUCUGUUGAACAUGCAAUUCUCACUGAAAGCACCAGAUUUCCGCGUAGGAGGGACUCGGGGGCAACGAUGCAAUUGGAAGUUCCAGGAACAAAGUCACUCACUGUCCUGUGGGUAGUCUCCGAGUCUCUGCGAGGACCCACUGCACGGCAGGAGCUAGUCUCAGACUGAGGUGAGUUCUCGGCAGCAGAAGGCACCACCGCACUCCCAAGGGCUAAAGGUUUACCCUGCACCUCUCCUACUGAAGCUUGCAGAGGGUUGGCAUGGCAGCCUUCUUCAUCAUAGGAGACUCUAAGACUGCUACUUUUGGCUCCUCUGGGUUGUGCAGCUUGAGUGGAAGAGCAGAUCCUCUCACAGCCUAGACCUCCUGGCCAGCCGUUUCUUGCCCUAGACUCCACUCCGAGUGGCAGUCUCCCAAGCUGUCUAAUAGGCGUAUGGGAGAAGUAUCAGCAAGUAUGCUACUUCUAAUGUCCCAGGUGGUGCACCCAGCACUGUGCCUCUUCCCUAGUGCAGCUGAAGGAAAGCUGCCACUGCCUGUGCCUUCCUUUACAAGGGUUGUCCUGGCAUGUGUCAGACCACUGGGUCCCCUAACAACCUUGCCAAUGUGCCAGUCCUCUGAAUGUUUCUGGGCUUUAGCCCCUGCCCUUGGCUUGCACGUGUCUUCUUCCUAGGACAUCCGGGGUGCUUGUGUCAUAUGCUGGUAGCAUAAUGUCAUCAACAGUGCACCAGUGUGCUGUGCAAACUAUCCCGAGACAGCCUGUAUGCAUGCAAAGUAUGCUCAAAAGUACCCAAGGCCGAGGCGUGGCAGCUCAUGCCUAUAAUUCCAGCACUUUGGGAGGCUGAGACUGGUGGAUCACUUAAGCCUAGGAGUUUGAGACUAGCCUGAGCAAAAUAGUGAGACCCUAUCUCAACUGAAAACAAAAAAAGAAAAAGAAAAAGAAAUUAGCUAGGUGUGGUGAUAUGCGCCUGUGGUCCCAGCUACUGGGAGGCUGAGGUGGGAGAAUUCAUUGAGCCCUGGAGGCUGAGGCUACAGUAAGCUGUGACUGCACUAUUGCACUCCAGCCUGGAUGACACAGCAAGACUCUGUCUCAAAAUAAAUAAAUUUAUUUAUUAAUACCACAUCAAUCGGUAUUUCCCGAUUUUCAUAAUUGAACUGUGGUUGUAUAAGAGAAUGCCCGUGGCCAGGCGCAGUAGUCCCUGCUACUUGGGGGUUGAGACAGGCGAAACCCCGUCUCCACUAAUAAUAUAAAAAUUAGCAGGUCAUGGUGGCACAUGCCUGUAAUUCCAGUACUCAGGAGGCUGAGGCAGGAGAAUCGCUUGAACCUGGGAGGUGGAGGUUGCAGUGAACCAAGUUUGUGCCACUGCACUCCAGCCUGGACAAUAGUGUGAGACUCCGUCUCAAAUAAAAAUAAAAAUAAAAGAAGUUGCCUGGCUUAGUUGUGCUUACUGGACUCAGAGCCCCACAUGGAGUCUGCUGACCUGUCUUGGGAUUGAAGGGUGAUAGGUGAGAAGGAUGGAGAAUUUGUAAAGGGCCGGCAGUCUCCCUGAUCUGUCUCUUCUAAUUUUGUAGUCGGACUCCUCCUAUUUGGUUCCUGGGCGACCUUCAGUUCUUGAAUUUUAGGGUUCCAAACAACAAGUGUUAAGUGAAGUUUGGGGCCUUUUAAAAGGUGUCAGUGCUUGAAAUUUGAG
rnacentral:lncRNA from 1 species